UACGUAGGGACCAAGCGUUGUCCGGAAUCAUUGGGCGUAAAGGGCGCGUAGGCGGGUGCUCAAGUCCGGGGUGAAAUCCUCCAGCUCAACUCCAGAACUGCCUUUGAUACUGAGAAGCUUGAGUCCGGGAGAGGUGAGUGGAACUGCGAGUGUAGAGGUGAAAUUCGUAGAUAUUCGCAAGAACACCAGUGGCGAAGGCGGCUCACUGGCCCGGUACUGACGCUGAGGUGCGAAAGCGUGGGGAGCAAACAGG
rnacentral:rRNA from 1 species